rnacentral:sRNA from 1 species
AACCGCCAGGCGGCGGUUGGUUCUAACAGAAUCGAUGUUUUAAAGCAUCAACACAAAACUGUAAAUUGAAGCUUUAAAACUCGUGGUUUAGUUUUUGACACGGAUGUCAAAAACUAAACCGGG